rnacentral:piRNA from 1 species
UCUUUUUGCCAGAUAUGGGUA